rnacentral:sRNA from 1 species
UCGAAUAGACACCCGACCAUCGUACCAC